GGAGAGGUCGCAUAGUCUGGUCGAGUGCGCACGAUUGGAAAUCGUGUAGGCGCAAGCCUCGCGGGUUCGAAUCCCGCCCUCUCCG
rnacentral:tRNA from 1 species